GAUGUAUAGCAUUGUCACAAAUGAAUGAGAUACUUUCAAAAUGACUAAAAAUCAUUUUCUCACAUUUUAAGUUUGAUCGAUUUCUGAUCAUUUUUUAACCAGUGUGUAUUUCACCUUAAGUAAAUGAGAGUUUGUGCGGGUACUGCUUUUCUAGCAACAACUUAUCAGGAGUUUCGUGGCCUGAGGCAAAACUCCUUCCCUUAUUUUUUCUGUGUUUACUAGUUUUUUAUUCUCUGUGCAUCUGACAAUUCACUUAAUCUAUAAUUCAAAUAUGCUCAGCAUAUCUCCCAAGAUUUGACAAUCUAGUUUAUAAUUACUUUCAUUAUUAUACAAAAUCUUGAAAAUUGUUAAGUCAAUAAAUAGGGUUAUAAAAAACCUGAUUCUUAACCUCUUCUUUACAGCAACCCAAAAUGAUGCCAUUUAGGUUUGAACACGUCUCGAAAACCACGAAAAGCCUCUAAACAAAAUUAAGUUUAAUUCACUCUUUAGGGAAGUACUUCUACAGACCAUUGGGAGGAAGGGGAACUAAUUUAAAUAAAUUAUCAGAUAGUCAUUUUAACCAGACGAGUGCUACUAAUUACAAUCCAUUUCCUCUAUUCAUUAAAACUCCAGCCUAGAUCCACUCUGUCAGCAGUCACUCCAGUUGCUUGAGAGCCUUAUCACAACUCUUCUUUAAAUACAUUAUAUAGUUUAGACUUUUGCUAACUUAUAGCCUUUUCUAGGCAUCCCUGAAAAGUGUCUGCUUUUUUUUUGCAUGCUCCUUCUGUUUUAAUAUAUUUGGUCUUUAGUCUUUUUUCAUUGCUGUCUUCUCAAUAUUCUGUAAUCUGUUUUAAUCAUCAGGUGUUUCAAUCUAUCAAGUAGGUAUCUAGUUCAAGCAUUGCAUUCUAGGGAGAAUCCGUCUAUUGUUCUCCUAGGCAGGUUAGUUUGGUAUAGUUCAUUGCUUUUUUUAACUAAUGUAUUACAUAUCCAGGCCACAAAAAUCCAAUGGAAUUAAAACCAACCAUCCUGAAAUCACCACAGCAUCCUAGCUGCUUGUCGUACACUAUACACCAAGUCUGUUUGGCUUAUUUGACAGUGGUAGGUUUUAAUUUUUUUUUCUGUAAAAUAAAUAUGCACUAUGGGGUGUGUGACAAAUGGUCCCUUGGUGUAAGUCUGUCUUUUACUGGCAUUUGAGUUGUUGGUUAUACUUGUUAUACUAAUGCCUCUAAACCAGGAAUCUGAAGAAAGCCACAUGUUUCUAAUUUUUAGAUCAUAGUGAGUCCUAUGCUUCCACAACAUGCUCCCUGCCCCCCCCCCCAAAACAGGUAUUAUUUAGUUUUAGUAGCUCUAAUUUUGUUAAUAGGGAAACUGAGUAUAGGUGCUUGUGUAAUACUUUCAUAAAUUAAAGAGAGUAGAGGGAAUUCUACCUAUUUCCUUUUCCAUCUUUAGUUGUCUGAUUAAAUGCUUAUUGUAUUACAGAUCCUCCCUCAAUAUUUGUUGACUUAAGUAUGUGUUAUAUAAUAAAGAUAGUGAGCCUGGGAGUAAAGUAAGGUUUUUAUCUGACUUUUCUUAUUUAAAGACCUUUCCAAAGCCCUGGCUACUUGCUGAUAGGAAACAACAUCACUCUAAGUUUUAAAAGUUGAAGAUUCAUUGGGAAUUCUUUUAUCUACUUAGCAAUUAAUUUACAUCUACUGUAAUUAAUUUUUGAGAAACCUGCAAAAGCCUAUUAGCUGAUGUUCAUAAGCAGUGGAUCCUAACUUGGGAAGCUGGGAGGAAUAAAUCAGCCUGUAUCAGCCAGAUAUGUUGCCCUGGCAGAUAGCCUUGGCAAGCACCCAAACAUAAAUAAACUAUUUUCCAAGUUUUGGUAAAAAUAAUUAAGUUCAGCUUAAAAUGCAUCCAAACUCCAUUGUCUGAUGGCCCAUAGAAAUGAAUAAUUCCAUUUUAUACUGAUAGAGGGUAGGUUCAGGAGGAGUUCAGAGCAGUAUUGUAAUAAGCAGGCAUUCACAAUGAUUUUGUAAACGAGGAGAUGCAUUCUCUUAUGAGUAGAAUUUAUUGAAAAAUAGUAAUAGAAAGCCAUUCUCCAGACCUUCCUGGAGCGGUGCUGUCUUCGAAGGUUUGGCUUCUGACACAGCUAAAGCCCAGCAUCUCUGUCCUGUUGCAAACGUGCAGCUGUCAUUUCCCUUCCUAAACACCAUGUCACCUCAUGCUCUGCCUUCGCUCUCAUCGUGUGCUCGUAACAGACAAGUUUUAAACACUGCCUAGAACAGGUGGUCCAUUACUUAGAGCGGGAGAGUUAGAUAUGGUCUCCUCCUUUCAUUUUCAAUUAUUAUUACCCAUUCAGAAGCAUCUUCAGACUUUCCUCGAUAUGAAAUCUAUAGGAUUAUCUGGAUUAAAAAAUAAGUGCUGACAUCUCAUGACAUCAAGGAAGGUUUAGUUUCGGGUUUUAUUUGCUUGUUGCUUCUCCCUUUUUCUCACAGAUGAUUCGUGAGGUAAACUGCCCAUGAGACCUCCGUCCCAAGACAUGGCUUCCUGGACAGAGGCUUCCUGGAGGGUUGGGCAUCAUUAGAAAGUCUUCCUCACUCUUUCUGACUGGAGUUGAAUGUUAAGAUACAGGAAGAGCUCUCCUUCUUAACCAAUUUCCUCUCAGUUCUCCACUUCCUGUUCCGGAAAGUCAGUCAGUAAAAUGCCUCCAAAUUUCUCACCUUUGUAGCUGCUUCCCAUAGCUAAUCACACUAAACUGGAAAAAGAAAUAAGGCCGGGUCUUGUAAGGCACUGUAACAAGUGAGUAAACAAAAUACUUACACCCAAGGAAUCCUCAAGUUAGUUAGUUUUAAUUAAUAAAUUAGAAACCUAAGAGGUCUCAGCUAAAGAAGAAACAAUGUCUAAUGUAAUAUUUUAUACCCAAUUUUUGAUUCAGUUGAAAAUACUAGUUUUUAUAUUACAGUCAGUAGAAUCUGAGCUAUGAAAGAGUUUACUUUGAAAAUCUGUUAAACAUAAUGUUCACUUUCUGAACAGUUUAUAUUUCAGUAAUUUAAUUUUCAUGUAAUGCCUUUAUGAUAUUAAAUUUAGUUUUUAAAUUCAAGGAAAUAUGAAACUAUUCAAGAAGUUAUGAAAUUAUUAGAAAAGUGUGUUCAUCAGAUUACUUUCAUCCGGACAAGUCAGACUCAGAAGCCAUUCUUGGAGAAUUUGCCUAAAAACAUAAGGACAACCAGCAGAGAUUAAUUUUAUCAAAGCAAUAGGAAAAUUAGAGAGACAGUAAUAAAUAUCUCCAGAAUUCUCCACUAAUAUGUAAAUGAUGGUGAGAAAUUUAGUUGUUUGACUGUGAUGUCUUUUCCUUUUAUUUUCAUUUUCAGAAUGAAAGGGAAAAAUUUAGUUUGAUGUCAUUAAUCCACUCAGCGUCCUGCCCUUUCCAUUAGUAUUGAUCAAGAAACCAUCUCUUUAAUUGGAUUUGUCUCCCAAUUUUUCUGAAGUUCAUUUUUAGUGUUACCCUAAUCACCACAUUUUUUUUUUUGAAACUCAGUAUUCUGGGUUAGAUGUAUUCUAGAAU
rnacentral:lncRNA from 1 species